rnacentral:rRNA from 1 species
UACGAAGGGGGCUAGCGUUGCUCGGAAUUACUGGGCGUAAAGGGCGCGUAGGCGGUGCCUCAAGUCAGGCGUGAAAGCCCCGGGCUCAACCUGGGAACCGCGCUUGAGACUGGAGUACUAGAGUUCGGGAGAGGAUGGUGGAAUUCCCAAUGUAGAGGUGAAAUUCGUAGAUAUUGGGAAGAACACCGAUGGCGAAGGCAGCCAUCUGGACCGACACUGACGCUGAGGCGCGAAAGCGUGGGGAGCAAACAGG